rnacentral:tRNA from 1 species
CCGGCAUGGGCAACGGUGGCGGUGGCGGCUCGCAGCCGGCCGGUGGUGGUGCUCCGCCCAUCGACAACUCGGCUCCGCAGCCGGGUGCCGGU